rnacentral:rRNA from 1 species
GAGUUUGAUCGUGGCUCAGGAUGAACGCUGGCGGCGUGCCUAAUACAUGCAAGUCGAGCGAACGGACGAGAAGCUUGCUUCUCUGAUGUUAGCGGCGGACGGGUGAGUAACACGUGGAUAACCUACCUAUAAGACUGGGAUAACUUCGGGAAACCGGAGCUAAUACCGGAUAAUAUUUUGAACCGCAUGGUUCAAAAGUGAAAGACGGUCUUGCUGUCACUUAUAGAUGGACCCGCGCUGCAUUAGCUAGUUGGUAAGGUAACGGCUUACCAAGGCAACGAUGCAUAGCCGACCUGAGGGGGUGAUCGGCCACACUGGAACUGAGACACGGUCCAGACUCCUACGGGAGGCAGCAGUAGGGAAUCUUCCGCAAUGGGCGAAAGCCUGACGGAGCAACGCCGCGUGAGUGAUGAAGGUCUUCGGAUCGUAAAACUCUGUUAUUAGGGAAGAACAUAUGUGUAAGUAACUGUGCACAUCUUGACGGUACCUAAUCAGAAAGCCACGGCUAACUACGUGACAG